rnacentral:tRNA from 1 species
GACGAUGUAGCUCAAGUGGUAGAGCACGUGCUUGGCAUACACAAGUUCCUGGGUUCAACCCCCAGCACCCCCU